AGGUAUUUUUUGUUGUACUAAAACAAAUCUCUUCUAGAUAUAAAGGCACGGUUUGUGCCGUUUGGGUAUAUUAGAUUUUCUUAAUUUGGACGUUUAUGAUUCAAUUGACUCGAUCUGGUAUGGUUCUGACUAGCAGGCCAUACAGCCUUACAAGCACAUGAUUACGCAACAGCAUCUUCUCCUUCGUUACUGGAUUCAUCAGUUCCUCCAUACCUUCAGUUGUUCGCAGUCACACCGGUGGUAUAUAUGGCAGUCGCCAUGACAAAGCUGUUGGAGCGUAUACGUUGUGACUUGUGACUGUCAGAUUAGGGAGGCCUAGGGACUGCUGCAGAGUCCGGCAUGGUUGAUGGGAUUCUGACGGUGAAAUUUCUCGCUGCGGAAGUUGAAUUUGCCAGAGGCGAAGCGAUCGAGUUCUUUACCCCCAAACAAGACCUUAAUGCGAUGUAUUUUGACUAUAUAUAUAUAUAUGUAUAUACAAGUGUGCUACAGUAUUUCAAACAUGUACACAAUUCUAGUAUUACAGUGCAUGCAUGGCAAAUAUGCACCAGUAUAGUAUAGUAGAGUAUAGUAUAGUAUAGUAUACUUAACCAAAGUUUAUCUUGUGAGCACUGGAGAAAUGUUUAGCCGCCCGGACCAUCCCGCCGGCGGCAUCAUCCCCGGCACCGCCACCGGAGCCGGAGCCGGAGCCCGCCGCCGCCUUUGAGCUCAAGCACGCGAGCCAGGACGCCACGCCCGACCAGAACCCAGAGCCGGAUUUCUUCUUGCCUCCCAUGGCUAAACACCUCAAACUGAACCAAGCUGUAGCUCAACUAACUGCGUAAGUAAACAGUAGUGUACUGCUUGCUUAACUACUUUGAAUCUUUGAUGAGACUGAGAACGGAAGCAAAUGGUAUAGUUUUCUUACAAGUGUUGUGUGUUAUCGAUCGAUCUCCUUGUGCUCGAGGAGCUGCAGGCUGGAAGCGU
rnacentral:lncRNA from 1 species